ACCCUCUUUGCGCUGCCUCCUGUGACCCUAGCGACCCCGGGGUAUGGUGCCCAGCUUUUCUGCAGAUGAAAAGCACUGAGUUAAAUAACUUGUCUAAAGUCCCAGUAACUUGGGAGCUGGAAUUUAACCUGGGUCCCUGAUGCCAAAGCCUGUGCCACGCUGACCCUUGUGGCAAGGUCCCCCUGCGUCGGGACCCACAUGGCUGAUCGCUCCCCGCCCCCGAUGGCCUUCAUGAUGAGCCACUAGGGAAGCCCAACAGCACCCAUGACUCCUCCCUGGAGCCUUUCCACCCCCAAGUUUGCAGCUCAGGUGUAACGACUUUCAAAGCGCAGGGAAGGUGCCAAACCAGCCUGCAGCACCCCCACCCCCUGCCCAGAAGCGCUUGCUAAAUGGACAAAGUAUCCAUCCGUGCAGAGGGGAGCUGCACUCCUGAAAGACAAACCUGCAGCUGGAGGAGUCGGAGCGGGGCCCUGGUUUUCAUUUGUCAUCCUCCCUGACCUCUGUGCCUCUGCGCGGGUGGUGAGUCUCCCCUUGCCCCCUAAGUUGCCUUGAGCAAAUCCCUCCCAGUCUGACUUUAGGUCCCAAGUAACAGACCGCCUGGGGAGGGGGGCCAGGCUCCGUUCAAACCCACCUGUUCCCUGUUCGCAGGUGCAGGAGGGGGAGUCUGGGGACUGAGGAUCAGAGGCUGCCUCAGGGAAAGGGCUGCUGUGGGCAGGAAGGGGGGCCGCAGACCAGCCCCCGAGCCAGCACGUCGGGCCGUGGAGACAGGCGGAAGCGCUGGCCGAGCAGAAUCUAAGGAGGAAUUGAUCCGUGUCUGAGCACGGAGUGUCUGGCUGUCUCCUGGGGAAGCAGACAGGCCCUUUCUUCCAGAAUUCGUGUCCUCGGGCCACAUUCAACAUGGCGUUUUCCUCCUUUAAAGCACCCAGUGUGUUCUCGCCGCCGGACAUCAGUGUGGCCUGAUACUGCGGGGGCACCCACCCCGGCCCCGCUCCACCCUCCCCGAGCCCCGUGUCCCCGCCCCUUUCUUCUGCCCUGGACCCCAGAGCCCAGGAGGUCUCGGAAGGGCCGAGCGGGCUGGUCCUCCCACCCGGAUGCCCAGCGGGCCCUGAGCUACCAACGGGCUUCUGUCCAGCUGCGCGGCUGGGGCCGGGGGCGCCGCGUGCUCGGACGGUCUGUGCGCACGGGCUCGCCGGCUGGUCGAGGUCGGGUCGUGCGAAAACCCGUCAUCUCUCACGAUGCGAGUGUCAUUGAGCCCUAGCGGACACACGGUGCUCUGUAAGCUUAAGGUGGACAGCCUGACGCCCGGGAUCCAUACGCUGCAGCAACCACACCUGAGCCACCUGGAAGGCUGUCCCCGGCUCAUGCCUUUGCGCCCGGCUGUACCACGAGCCCCACAGCAGCUGUCACAGUGACACCCUGACGUAAGUGUGCUGGAGACGGGGGGGGAUCUGGGGUGGGCUUGCCUUACAAGUGAGGUGUGUGUGCAGCUGUCCUCAGGGUGAACAGUGAUUCUGCACUUUGGACCUGAAGACCAGGUAGGGUCACAACUGCGGCCCCUGCACAAACUCAGCCAAGGGCGCCUGUUACCCCUACAAGCGCUCUGGCUUCUUGGUGCCUCCUGUCCCCCAGCAGGGUCUGGGCUCAGCUGUAAGCAACUGCUGCCAUCUUUGACUCUGCAGCAGGAGGCGCGAGCUACUCGACCUGAGCAGACAGCCUGUCUCGGGCAGCACCUCCUCUGGCCACACGCAGCUGGGACCCGGCCAGCGCCUGUCACCUGAGGAGCCGCCACGGUAUAAAGGGGCCAGAGAGGAAAAGGCCUCCCAUUACAAGUCCCCCCGUGCAGAGCCGGCCUCAGGCCUCAGAAGGACGCGAAAAGCAAGGUGUUCAAUUUAGUUUUGGAAACUCGAAUCCAAACCCUCAAGAAAGGCCUG